rnacentral:rRNA from 1 species
CCUACGGGAGGCUGCAGUGGGGAAUAUUGCACAAUGGGGGAAACCCUGAUGCAGCGACGCCGCGUGAGCGAUGAAGCAUUUCGGUACGUAAAGCUCUAUCAGCAGGGAAGAAGAUGACGGUACCUGACUAAGAAGCCCCGGCUAACUACGUGCCAGCAGCCGCGGUAAUACGUAGGGGGCAAGCGUUAUCCGGAUUUACUGGGUGUAAAGGGAGCGUAGACGGCGAUGCAAGCCAGGUGUGAAAGCCCGGGGCUCAACCCCGGGACUGCAUUUGGAACUGUGUGGCUGGAGUGUCGGAGGGGCAGGCGGAAUUCCUGGUGUAGCGGUGAAAUGCGUAGAUAUUAGGAGGAACACCAGUGGCGAAGGCGGUCUGCUGGACUAUGACUGACGUUGAGGCUCGAAAGCGUGGGGAGCAAACAGGAUUAGAUACCCGGGUAGUC